GCUCUCUGGAAGAGGUGGGGUUUAAAGCACUGAUCCCUGAUGUGAUCUUCUUUAACUCCAUGUCUGUUAGAGAGAGCAUAAGAACACACACAAUGAUUCUCCAUUCUGUCAUUCUGCUUUCUGCCUUUGCAUAUGCAGCGUAUGGAAAUGAAAUCAAACCAAACAAAACAGAGGAGUUUGCUGAAGAGGGUUCAAGUGUUAAAUUAUCCUGCAGUUAUUCAUCUGCAUAUUAUCUUCACUGGUAUCGUCAGUAUCCCGGAUCAGCUCCUGAGUUCAUUGUGCUCAUCUCAGACAAUGCAAAAGAAGCUAAGGAGUCUUAUGUAGAUUCCAGAUUCAUGACCAAAGUUAGUAAAGGCAAAGAAAACCAUGUGGAUCUGGAGAUCUCCUCUGCAUCUAUAUCAGACUCUGCUCUGUACUACUGCGCUCUGACGCCCACAGUGACAGGAAAAGAAAGAUGUGUGAGUUUUGGAGAUGAAAUCACACCAGACAGCACUGAGGAAUCUGCAGCAGUGGGUUCAACUGUUACUUUAUCCUGCAGUUAUUCCUCUGCAGAAUCACUUCAAUAA